AUGGAGCUGGUGGAUGGACGGAGCUUGCUAGGACGAUGCCCGUCUUCUUCUUCAUCAAGUCGGUGCCAUGGAGGACAAAGGCAUGGAGGUUCGCGAGGAUGCCGCCGUCUACAUUUUUUUUUCCCGGCGCAUGAGACAAAUCCACACUCCUUAUCUUCCCUUCUCACUGGAGUGAAAAAAAGACUUUUCUCGUGUCAAACAUGGGCUUGUGAGGCCGGGGCCUCCCCCGCUGCAACUGCUUUGGUGCACCUGUCCUCCGAUGAUCAAUCCUCUGAGGCCACCAAGGAUGGGGCUGUGGAAGAAUCCUCUGCCCCGCGGCAGAGGGAGCUCCUCCGCGACUUUCCUGACGAUGAUGCUAACGAGCCUCCGGUGGUGGAGGUGCCACGCCCUGCUGGAGUCACCACGAGAUCUCGGGUGUCCUCUUUGAAGCAGCCCAAGCGGGCGGCCACAAAGAAGGGCAGGACCGCGUUGAUUCCUUCGGGCAGUGCUCCGCCUUCACCGACAACAUUCCGGGCGGCACCAACCGCAAGUUCUCCCGCUCUCAAGAGCUCAGCACUAGCUGCUCCGCCCCAACGCCUGCUCCUGAGCAUGAAGAGGAGCUAUACCUUCGCUGGCCAGCAGCAGCCGUUGAAGAAGCAGAAGGAGGGCACGGAGGUUGCCGUGGCCACAGGCACUGAAGUGGCCGCCGCGACCCUGGCAAAGGAGAAUGCCACGGCCCCCGCAGCUCUGGUGAUGAUGUCAUCUCCUGCGGCCAUGGAAGCCCAUCCUCAGGAGGUGCCGGCGCCUUUGGCAGGCCUGACCCCUCCGGCGCCCGGCCUUGCUGCGGCCACUGAAGUCGCCCAGCCUCCAGAGCCCCCGGUUCUUCCUGAGGCUGAGGUUUCUUCUGUCCUGGCGGCGAGAGUGUCUCCUCCCCUGCCCAGCGUGUUGGCGAGCCGUGGCGCUCCUGCUACCUCUGGGGCCCUGGAGGAGGCAAGGGCGGUGCUGGACCUCCUCCAGGGUGAACUUCGGGGCCCGGAUCAGCGCUCAGCGCAGGGACGCCUGGGGCUAGUUUCUGGUUGGUUCCAGGCCGACGCGUUUGUCCGUGCGGCCUUGGGCUCUGCGGAGGAAGCCCAGAAGGUGCUCGGGGUGACCGCCACGAAGCGCGACCUGGCACGGAAGGAGGCCACAGAAGCUAGGGUCGGUGCCGCAUGGUGGAGACUGAACUAA
rnacentral:rRNA from 1 species